rnacentral:rRNA from 1 species
CCUACGGGAGGCAGCAGUGGGGAAUUUUCCGCAAUGGGCGAAAGCCUGACGGAGCAACGCCGCGUGAGGGAUGAAGGCCUCUGGGCUGUAAACCUCUUUUAUCAAGGAAGAAGAUCUGACGGUACUUGAUGAAUAAGCCACGGCUAAUUCCGUGCCAGCAGCCGCGGUAAUACGGGAGUGGCAAGCGUUAUCCGGAAUUAUUGGGCGUAAAGCGUCCGCAGGCGGUCUUGUAAGUCUGUCGUUAAAGCGUGGAGCUCAACUCCAUUUCGGCGGUGGAAACUACAAGACUAGAGUGUGGUAGGGGCAGAGGGAAUUCCCGGUGUAGCGGUGAAAUGCGUAGAUAUCGGGAAGAACACCAGUGGCGAAGGCGCUCUGCUGGGCCAUAACUGACGCUCAUGGACGAAAGCUAGGGGAGCGAAAGGGAUUAGAUACCCCUGUAGUCCUAGCCGUAAACGAUGAACACUAGGUNUCGGGGGAAUCGACCCCCUCGGUGUCGUAGCUAACGCGUUAAGUGUUCCGCCUGGGGAGUACGCACGCAAGUGUGAACUCAAAUGAAUUGACCGG